AGACUACUGAAGCCCUUUCCCCCUAACUAUUGGAAGUUCCCCUUGACUCCCCAUCUGGCUUUUGAAAUGUCACCCUACAGCAGCUACUGAUUUUUCAAAAUUACAUUUGCAGCCUUAAAGUCUGCGCCCGGAAGUGCACUCUGCAAUAUUUUGACCCUUUGCGAAGUUAAUCACCCCAAACUGACAUCCUUUCUCUUGCAGUAGAUUGUACAUUGUGUGUGUUGACUUUUUUCCCGUUCCAGUUUUUCUGCAUCCAGAACCUGCAAGUCUUUUGUGUUAUGUGGGCGAAAGCAUCCACGCCACAUAGCACGGCGCAUAUUCUUAUUCCAACCGUGUGACUUUAAAAUGGCGAAACUAUCAUUCUAGGGUUGUUUGUUGUUUCUGUUAUUGUGAAGGGCCAUUAACCCAGGGAAUGCCUCUGUAUUUAAUACAAACACAAGAUGCAUUAAAAGGCUUUUAUUGCUGCUUUGGGCUGCGAUACAGCACACAGUCUAGGAUUUGUUUUUUAAAACACAAAAGGAUGGAGAACGGUAUGCAGAGGAUCCGGCGGGCUCCGAAGGAAAACGUGGGUCGCUCAUUGUCGACAGGAGCACCAUCAGAACCUAAUUAGGCUCUGGUUGGCUUCUUGCUUCCUGGGGACGGCACUCAGCCACUUUGUGAUACCUUUUUGCAAGGGGAGGAGUUAAAAAGGUGGAGCUGAAUCUGUUACCUUUGAUAUCUUAAUGCUCUUGAGACUAACACACUGCCACAUGGGGUGGUGAACUUUCCUAUUAUCCAUUCUGAUCGAAUUUGUGAUGAUCCUAACAGAGCAAAAUUGGUUCAAAUCCAAAUUGUUGUUGUUUAGUCGUUUAGUCGUGUCCGACUCUUCGUGACCCCAUGGACCAGAGCACGCCAGGCACUCCUGUCUUCCACCGCCUCCCGCAGUUUAGUCAAACUCAUGCUGGUAGCUUCGAGAGCACUGUCCAACCAUCUUGCCCUCUGUCAUCCCCUUCUCCUUGUGCCCUCCAUCUUUCCCAACAUCAGGGUCUUUUCCAGGGAGUCUUCUCUUCUCAUGAGGUGGCCAAAGUAUUGGAGUCUCAGCUUCAGGAUCUGUCCUUCCAGUGAGCACUCAGGGCUGAUUUCUUUCAGAAUGGAUAGGUUUGAUCUUCUUGCAGUCCAUGAGACUCUUCAGAGUCUCCUCCAGCACCAUAAUUCAAAAGCAUCAGUUCUUUGGCGAUCAGCCUUCUUUAUGGUCCAGCUCUCACUUCCAUACAUCACUACUGGGAAAACCAUAGCUUGAACUAUAUGGACCUUUGUUGGCAAGGUAAUAUCUCUGCUUUUUAAAUCCAAAUAGUCAGGCCUAAUUUCUCUCUCUCUCUCUCUCUCUCUUUCUUUCUUUCUUUCUUUCUUUCUCUUUUUAUUUCUACAAUCGCAAAUCUAUGCAUUCUUUUCAUCCACCACUCUGGCCCGUCUUUCUCACCGCUUCUGAAGAGGAAGCUCAGCUGCAACAUUUCCCUUUAUGUUGUCACCAUGGGUUGUAAUAAAAACCUAGAAAGCAGAUCAAUUCACCCCCUUUUCUUUCUCUCCCCCCUGUGAAAUUGGCAUUGGCUGGGCUCCAUUGCUGCUAAAAGGGGCUUGUUGAGUUCUCUUCCGCCGCAGCAAAUGUCAUGCUCAGAACUCCCAUCUACUUUUUGAUGAGCAAGACCCCAACUGCCUGAAGAUGCCAUAAUGAGAGAGAAGUCAGAAUUCUUUUGUCCUCUAAUUAAUACAAAAUUAACCCCUGGUCAUCAAGAGCUCCUAUCCCUCCAAGCAGCAAUUGUUCACAGGGAGGCAGUUAAAUAUUUCAUGCGUUUCCUUUAGAACGGGUACAGAUGAAACGCCAAAAAAAUAAGGGCACCAAGGGGUUUUCUGAUUUCUAACAGAACUGGAAAGAGUUUAGCAAUUCAUCUUUUAAUUUUAGCAAACGUGGCUCUUCACAUUUAUUCAGUGCUUUGCCUGUAUGCUCAAUUGGGAGGGGGGCUUAUUCAGUGCAUUACACAUUUAACAUGGAUCUUUUCUCAUUGAGUAUCUUUCCAAGUACUUUAUAUCUGGGAUAUCUGUUGGCAAUGGACUUGUGCAGACUGAGAGCUGAGAGCCAGUGGUGUGGAGGUUAGAGUGUUGGAGGGGGGCCUUGGGAGACCCAGGUUCAAAACCCCCCAGCAAACAAACAAGCAAACAAACAAGCAAACAAACAAACAACCGCCCCACUUGGUCACCUGGGGCUGGUCACUGUCUUGUAGCCAAACCUACCUCACAGGGUUGUUGUUGGGAGGGUAAAAUGGGGAGGGGAAGAACCAUAUACAUCACCUUGAGCUCCUUGGUUAGAAAGGUGGGAUGUAGCAAUUAGAAUACAGUGGUACCUU
rnacentral:lncRNA from 1 species